rnacentral:lncRNA from 1 species
CUUAUUCAGGCUUAGGCUAGGUUGGAAUCAAUUAACAGGGAACAUUUCAGAGCAAUUAGGGAUAUAUCCACAUUUGGAUUAUAUGGAUUUGAGUAACAAUAGAUUCCACGGAGAGAUUCCACGGAAAUUGGGUCAGUGGAAAAACAUCACAAGCCUAAAAUUUUCAGACAACAAUAUCUCUGGUAGCAUACCGCUCGAGCUUGGAAAUGCCACUCAAUUACAUCUGAUUGACCUUUCCUGGAAUCAUUUGCAAGGGCAAGUUCCUAAAGAAUUGGCAAAGUUAAAGCUGUUGAUCAAACUUUGUCUUAAUAACAACAAUCUUUUUGGCGUUGUUCCUUUAGAUUUCAAGGUACUAUCAUAUAGCCUUUGGGGCGUAUGUCAGGUGGUCACCCUUUGGGGUAGCUCUGCACAUGUGUAUGAUCAGUAUUUUAUUUGCUUUUGGGCCAAAUUUGUCAUUAUAGAGCCUAAGAUGCCAGCAUUGCUCUCAGGCUGUUAUUAUUUUAUUAUACCUGAGAUGCCAGCAUUAUCUGCAGGGAACAUAUUAUGAGUGUAUGCGGAUUUUAUUUUUCACAGUUUAUUUUAUAUUGAUGAAAUUAAAUUAUAUUUAUUCAACUGACUUAUUUUAGCUAAAUAUUUGGUACUAUUAAGUACCUAAACUUAUCUUUUCCCCUUUGUUAUUUAUUUAUCCGCUCACUGAGUAUGUUGUACUCACUCUUAUUUCUUUUAAUAUUUCAGUUCCUUUUUGGUGAUCCGCUCAGCAGUCCUCAUCUCCUAGUUUAUCUUUUCUUCCACAUCGUCCAUUCAGAGUCUAGAGGAGGUCGGACCAAUCUUAGGUCUUUUGUUAUUUCUUUUUGUAAUUUUGUUAGAUCAUGUAUAGAUUGUACAACCCCAAUUAUAGCAGGUUAUAUGUAUAAAUUUCAGGAGAAGUUCUGUCAGUUUUCCUGGUCAUAUCCAUCUCUAUAGUUUUGGGUUGGGUGUGACAAUAACUGCCCUUUUCCGAUCAUUCAUCGAGACAUUUCAAGCAACAAUAUUCUUUUGGAUUCAGAAUACGAACCUCGUAUAUCUGAUUUUGGUACAGCUAUGCUUUUAUUGUCGGACUCUUCCAACAAAGCCUCAUUUGCUGGGACCUUUGGAUACACAGCUCCUGGUACGUGCCUUUUAGUUUCAUUAUCAAAUCUGUGGCUCAUGACUGCAUCAUUAAUAAAGAGAAGUCUAGCAUAUUUAUCUCAUCAUUUUUUUUACAAUUAUUUUUUUUUUCCAGAACUAGCCUACACAACGCAAAUGAAUGAAAAAUGUGAUGUCUAUAGUUUUGGAGUGAUAACACUGGAGUUAGUAAUGGGAACACAUCCAUGCAACCUCAUCUCAUCUCUUUGGUCAUUGUCAUCAUCAGAUGAUCAUGAUAAAUUGUUGAAGGAUGUGAUAGACCAGCGUCUUCUACUUUCUCAAAAUCAAGUUGCAGAGAGUGUAGUCUACAUUACCAUGUUAGCAUUUUCAUGCUUGCAUCUCAAUCCCAAAUCUCGGCCAACAAUGCAACAAAUUUCUUCAAAGUUGACAUCUAAGCAUCCUCUGGUUUCAAAGUCAGUCUCCACAAUAAAAUUAGAAGAACUACUUUCCAACAAUAUUUGCUAGUUGAUCUAUGUACUAAGGUUGUCACCCUCCUUUCUGGAGGUUUUGAUUUUUAGUUUGUCUUUUUGAUAUUUUCUCUUUGUACGCAUGUUAUCUAGCUUUUUUUUUUUGUAUUUUCACUUUUUUUAUGUUUUUUUUUACUUAAUACAUCGUGUAUGGAUUAGAUUAGGUUAGAUGUAUGAAAGAAGCUUGCUGGCUUGGAUUAGCUUGACAUCUUAUGUUAAGUUUUUUCUAAUUUUCUAUAAUAAUAAAAUUAUUAUUAUUAUUUUAAAAAAAAAUCUAUAUAAAUACGUGUGUCUAUCGAAUAGUUUUUACCUUCAAUAUAUAUUUUUCUUUUAUAAAACUUUUUUUUAUGUGUGUUUUAUGUGUGUUUUCUUUGUUUUUAGAGCAACCUGAUUUUACUUGACUUUAAUAUCCUCGAAAUAAAACUUUAGUAAAUCAAAAUUAAAUAAACCUAAGGUAUUAAGCUUUUCAUACCUGAUUUUUACUAGUAGGACAUGUUAUUUGAAAUUAAAAUAUAUAAUUUUCUUUAAAUUUAAACUAUUAAAUAUAAAGGAAAUGUCCAGCCUCUUCUUCAAUCCCUGGAGGAUUGUUCUGUUAGUGAUUUCUGUCUGGCCGUUGGUCUGAGGAUGGGCUACUGAGGAGAAUUUGUGCCAUAUGCCCAUGUUUGCUGUGAAUGUUCUGAAGGCACUGCAGUCAAAUUGUCUGCCAUUAUCUGAUAUGAGUACUCUCGGUAUUCCGAACCUGCAGAUGAUACUGCCCCAUACGAAGUUUAUCAUCUUGCGGGCUGUGAUUGUGGGGAUUGCCUCUGCCUCUGGCCAUUUUGAGAAGUACUCCACAGCCACUACUACAAACUUUUUCUGCCCCGUGGUCUUAGAAAAAGGUCCCAGGAUGUCUAUUCUCCACUGUGAGAACGGCCACGGGCUGGAUAUAUUGGACUGUGGAGUGGCUGGAGUAUUUAUGGCAUUGGCAAACCUCUGGCAUACAUCACACCUUCGGACAAACUCUUCUGCCUCCCUUUUAACAGUGGGCCAGUAGUACCCCUGCCUGAAUAUCUUAUUUGCCAGCGUUCUUGCUCCUUCAUGAGCUCCACAUCUCCCUCGAUAUAUCUCUUCCAUCACUUUUAUUGCUUCGUCAGGGCUCACGCACUGAAGCCAUGGGCUGGAUUUUCCCCUUCUGUACAAAGUCCCUCUAACUGCUUGGUAAUUAGCAGCUCGGGCAGCUAUCUUUUCUGCUUCAUCCUUGUCUUCGGGAAGCUUUCCCUUCUCCAAGUACUCCAGGUAGGGGGUCAUCCAGCUCUGGCUUUGCUCUACCUGCAAUACGGUGGCCGUUUUAUUAAAGGUAGGUGUGCUGACGUACUGUAUGUACACUUCAUCCGGGAGUUGCUCCAGCUCUUCCCUAGACAAUCUACUGAGCAAGUCUGCCUCCUCAUUCUCCUCCCGAGGUAUUCUCUGAUACCUCACAGUGAUCCCGCGACCCUUGAGCUCGGCUUCUAUGGCCUUUACCUUUGCUAGGUAGUUCUGCAUGGUAGGGUCUUUAGCCUGAUAUGCCCCUGUUAUCUGAUUGAUUACCAGCUGGGAAUCACUAUUCACCUCGAGGUCGGUUGCCUUUACCUCCAUUGCUACCAGCAUUCCAUUUAUUAGGGCCUCAUACUCUGCAACAUUAUUAGAGGCCUUGAAUUCUAGGCGUAGAGCGUAAUAAACCUUGAAUUCUCCCGGUCCCUUCAAUAUUAUUCCUGUACCACUGCCCCCAGCGCCUGAUGCCCCGUCUACAUAUAGCUUCCAGCUGAAUUCUUGGGAGGGCUGCCCUUCUCUCUCACUCCCCAACGCUCUAGAAGAUGACUCACCCUGUUCUAUUUGUUCUUCAUUGAACGAGCACUCUGCUAUGAAGUCAGCUAGGGCUUGAGAUUUUAUGGUGGUCCGAGGUUGGUACUCUAAACAGUAAGGGCUAAUCUCAAUAGACCAGGCCAGUAUCCAACCUGAUAUUUCUGGCCUGUGGAGAAUCUUCUUCAGCGGCUGAUUUGUCAUGACUACCCCCUGAUGGCUUUCCAGGUAGAUCCUAAACUUCCGAACUGCCAGUAGCAGAGCAUAUGCCAUCUUCUCGAUGUUCAGGUACCUGAUCUCAGCGUCUUUAAGCACCUUGCUGACGUAAAACACUGGUUUCUGCUCUCCCCCCUCUACUUUUACUAACACUACACUGACUGCUUGCUCUGAGGCUGACAAGUAGAUCGGGAGCUCUUCUCCUUCCAAGGGACUGCUAAGUACAUGAGGCGAGCUGAGAUACCUUUUGAGCUCUUUGAAAGCCUCUCGGCAAUCCUCGGUCCAUUCGAAGUUCGGCACUUUCCUCAACUUCUUAAAGAACGGCAAGCAUCUCUCUGCCGACCUCGACAUGAAGCGAUUGAGCGCCACCACUCUCCCAGUAAGUCUCUGGACAUCCCUCACACAGGUAGGCUCUGGCAUAUUCAGGAUAGCUUCUACUUUCUCUGUAUUGGGCUCAAUGCCUUUUCCACUCACCAUAUACCCCAAGAACUUUCCUCCCCUGAUGAAGAAAGCACAUUUAGCCGAGUUUAGCCUCAUUCUGUAUUGCUUUAGCACCUCAAAUACCUCCCUCAGAUCUACCAAGUGUUGUUGAAAGGUUGGGCUCUUCACCACCAUAUCAUCCACAUAUACUUCGACAUUCCUGCUGAUCUGACCUUUGAAGAUUUUGGUCAUCAGUGUUUGGUAUGUUGCCUCGGCAUUCUUCAGCCCGAAAAGGCAUGGCCUUAUAGUAGUAGGUCCCAUCUUCUGUUAUGAACAAGGUCUUUUCUUCAUCCGACCUGUUCAUUGGGAUUUGGUGGUAACCAGACAUAGCAUCCCAAGACGAUAUGUAAUCAAAACCGGCCGUGAAGUCGACCAUUUUAUUAAUAUCAGGGAGGGGAUAACAAUCUUUGGGACAGGCCUAAUUCAGGUCAGUAAAAUCUAUGCACAUCCUAUAUUUGCCAUUGGCUUUUUUGACUAAUACAGGAUUUGCUAACCACUGUGGGUACAUAACUUCCCUGAUAAAGCCUGCCUCUUCUAACUUCUGCACCUCCUCCCUAGUGGCCUGUUGCUUCUCCCUUCCUACCACCCUCUUCUUCUACUUCACCAGCCUAGCCUCUGGGGGACAUUCAGCUUGCGCGUCAUCACUUCAGGGUCGAUCCCGGGCAUGUCAGAAGGCUUCCAGGCGAAGCUUGACGCGUGACUUUGGAUCAGGGCCAUGACUUCAGUUUUCUACCCCUCAGUCAGGCCGGCGUUAAGACUGAAGACCUUGUCCACCUCGGUUUUUGACAAAGGAAAGGUUUCCAGCUCUCCGACAGGCUCUGUUCUGGCCUCUUUUCUCUCAUCUCUGACCUCCAGGACUUCUGAGUCAAGCUUCUCCCCUGCCGAGUUCGGCUCUGAUACCGUGGCCAGGUACACUGCCCUCGCCUCCUCCUGACUUCCUCUGACUACUCCCACCCCUGCCUCGGUUGGGAACUUCAUAGCCAGAUAUCUGAUGCUGGUUACGGCCUCGAAGUCAAAUAAUGCAGGUCUUCCCAAUAUGGCGUUGUAGUUCAAGGGGAGUUUAGCCACUAAGAACACCACAUAGUGAGUGCGAGUCCUUGGCGCUUCCCCUAGAGUGAGGGCUAGCUUCACUUUCCCCUCCACAGGCACUGGGACUCCCCCGAUCCCUUUGACUGGGGCCUAGUCCCUAACCAAUUGCUUCUUAGGGAUUCCCAUCUGCUGGAAGACUCGGUACGGCAGCAGAUUCACUUUACUCCCGUCAUCCACCAAGAUCUUCUUAACCCGGUAGUUGUGGAUGACAGCUUCAAUAACCAAGGCGUCGUCAUGAGGCAUCUGAACACCCUGGGCAUCCUCCGGAGAGAAGGUGAUAGUCAUUGGAGAGUGCUCGACUACCUGCAUGACCUCGGCGCUGCUGCCUUCCCCAUCUCGGCCUCUCUUCUUUCCCCUUCGGCUCAUCCGACCUCCGGUUCCUCCUACAAUCAUGUUAAUGGUCCCACUGGAGCCAUCAUUUAUCUGUCCCGCUCCCGUCCUCCUGGGCAUUUGUGCUGCAGGAUUCGGUUGAGGCCUUUCUCCCUCCGGCUUCUUCACGAAGUUCCGCAAGUGACCUCUUUUGAUCAGCCUCUCAAUCUCGCUGAUUAGUUGGUAGCAAUUGUUGGUGUCAUGGCCGUGUGUGCGAUGAUACUGAUAGUAUUUGUUAGGAUCUCGCUGGUUUACUUCUGCUCUCAUAGGCCUGGGCCAUUGAAGGAACUCUUUGUCCUGAACAGCCAUGAGCACCUCGGCUCUAGAGGCAUUAAGAGGAGUCAGGUUCUCCGGAACUCGCGGUGGGAGCGGUCUCUGUUCAGGGAUCCGAGGAGGAAAUGGUCUCUGGUCCCUCCAGUCCCAAGGCUGCCUGUACUACUCAGGCCUCUUGCCUUGCUUUCUCUCCUGCCUUUCUGGCCUCCUUUCUUCCGGGGCUUUUCCCCUAUCUGCCACCCCUUUGGCGAAUCGGCUCGUCACCAAGGCGUCAUUCUGCCUUAUAUACUUCUCCGACCUCUUCAUCAGCUCUGCCAACGUGGUAGGGGGCUUUCUACUUAAUGAGCCAAAAAACUCGGGGGAGGUUGUCCCCUUCUACAUAGCCUCCACCGCUCUGCCCUCAUCCAGUUCGGGGAUCUGCAGGGCCUCCGUGUUGAAACGGGCAACAUACUCCCUGAGCGACUCAUCCCUUCCCUGCCUGACCGUCUCCAAGUAACUGGUCUUCCUAUCCGCUGGUACUCCGGCUAUGAACCGGCUGAUGAAGGCGAUGGCCAGGUCCCCGAAUCUCCUUAUACUUCCAGCCUCAAGGCUGUUAAACCACGCCCGGGUCGGCCCCAUAAGUGUUGUCGGGAAUACCUUGCACAUCAAGGCAUCCGAUAGAGUCUGCAACUCCAUAAAAGUCUUGUAGCUGAGGACGUGCUCCUUCGGGUUGCCAGCUCCAUCGUACGCUGCCAUAGGUGGCAUCAUAAACUUCUUAGGGAUGGUCUCCUGCUGCACCCACUUCGAGAAGGGUGAAGAGGUGGGCAAGAGAGCCUGAUUCGAAUCCUUUGUGCCUAGCUCGGCUAGGAGCUGCUCUCUCAUCUUCUGCAGCUUUUGGUCUACACUUUCUUCCUCUUGUUUAGGCCUUUUCUCCAGGCGGCCUUCCUCCUCCCAUGCUUCACUUUCCAUUCUCCUGGUCGUUCCGACAGAGUAACUGUCGGCCUCGUCGUUCUCUAUCAACUCCCUCACCCUCCUUCUGUGAACUCUAGCUUAUGGUUCUACUUCCCCACCAGCUCUCUUGCCUCUUUCUCCGGUCUCUCGGCUGGUUGCUUGAGGAGGGUUGAGGGUAGGCUGGGGUUCAUUGGUCCGUGGUUCUUCUACCACCGGCGACAUGUUCACUAGGGUGCUGAGGCCCCUCUGUUACAUCAUCUGCCCCAGCCAGUGGGCAUUGUUUUGUAGUUGAAGGGCCAUAGCUUGGAGGUCUUGGUUGGACAAGGUAGCUCCGGGCAUGUUCCCUGCCGAGCUUGGGGAGGAGUUAAAGAGGAUUGGUGUUUGGUUGUUUGGGGUUGUGGGACUGGAAAAAGAGAACUAUUGUCCCUCCUGAGCAGAGCUCAGGUCAUUAGGGGUGUUGACAAAGUUGUUUUCGUUAUGGUUGGCCAUUGUGGAUCUCAGUGGGUAUUGUAAGAGCGGAACUCCGGUGAUGAAAAGAUCUCCUUCGUUCCCACAGACGGCGCCAAUUGAUAAUCUGAGAUCCAUAAAAUAGGGUUUUACAAGGGUUCUGUAAGCUUAUUUUGAGGGGAGGAUACUCCUCUCCUUUUAUUCUUUUCCUUUGUCUGUCAGUGACGUGUAACAGUCUCACUGUCAUUGGGCCACGUGUCUCUGCCAUAUAGAUAUGGACGUACGAGAAUAUCAGAUCCCUGCUACAUGCGUAACGGCCAUUUAAUUCCUUCCUGACGCGCAUGCGGAUGGACCCACUGGGCGAGCGAGCUGGCCACCUCCUCUCUUCCGGGCUGGGCUGGAAGAUAAGAUUGGGACUGAAGCCCAGGGAAGUGUGAGCUUUGGACCAAAAAGGCUGGGUCGGCCUGAUUGAGAAAUCUAGAUGGAGCCCGGUCUUUAAGCUGAGCGGGGUAGGUCUGGUUUCCUUGAGUGACUUGCAGGCCUUCAAAUAAUGGGCUGUCGCCCAGGGCCCAGUCCCAGACCGGGGUGAAGAAAUCCAGCGGUCAUCAAUAAUGAUUGUUACUUUAUUUACUUUUUAUUUACUGAUAAUUUAUUUUAUUUUUUAAUUUUUUAUUUAAAAUAAAAAAAUUAUUUUUUUUAAUUUAUAAAAUUUUUAUUUUUAAAGAAAAUAAAAUUAUAUAUAAUUUUGUAAAAAUAUAUUUAAAUUCUUUUUAUUUUUAAAUAAAUCAUGCCAAAUAAAAAGUUAAAAUAUGCAUAAUUAAUUAUAUUAUAUAAAUAUCAUUUUAUUUAUUAAAUACAUUAAUUAAAUAUAUAAUAUAGUUAUGAUUAUAUUAUAUAUUUUUUUAUUACAUUAUAUUGAAAAUAAUCUAAAAUUCUAGAUCAACUAUAAAUCAAUCAUUUUCUUUUCUAGGCCAAUCCAGGGGACCUCACCUUCAAUUUCAUGGAGAAAAAAAAUCAUGGAAAAUUUAGUCCCUUGGCAAUUGCAUUCACUUGUGUCAUGGACCGUGACACCCACACACGGGACAAGCUACAAUAAUUUCAAACCCUUUUUCCACGUUUCUUUUCCAACUUUAUUGUGAUAAUAAAUUACUGCAUUGUUAAGUCUUCAUUUAUAAAUUAAAGAAAAACAAUAAUUAAUACAAAACAACUCUAUAGUUAUUAUUAAACAAUAAAUUUAAUUUUAAUUAAAUUUAUAAAUUUAUGUUAAUUUAUAUUGUCAAUAAAUAAACAAAUAAAUAAAUAAAUAAUUUUAUUAAAAUAAAAAUAAUUAUAAAAUUAUAAAUAUUUAAAUUUAUUUAAAAAAAAUAUAAAAAAUUCUUUUUUUAUAAGAACCGUACCGUAUGAAAAAAUCUUAAAAAUAAAUAAAUUUAUUUAGAAAUACUAAUAAAUAAAAGAUGCCAUUAAAAAUAAAUAUUUCUCUCUAUUUUAUUCGAAUUCUAGGAUAUACUACUAACAUAUUGCACGCUUAAAAAAAAUUAGUAUAUAUCAAGUCAUGCAAAGAAAAAAAAGAUGUAAUUGUGAUUGUACUUCCUGUUUUGGCCAUUCUGUGUCCGGUGUUCUUUACUGGAGGUCUCUUGAUGCUUCUCCUACUUAGAAGAAGAAAAGCCCAAUCAAAGAAAUUAUAAGAUAAAGAGAUAUAUUAGUAAUACUAUGCCAUGAUCAAGAAUUAUAGUAUGAAAAAAAUCAUUAUGGCCACUAAGGAUUUCAACUCCAACUAUUACAUUGGAGCAAACGGAAGUGGAGUUAUACACUUGUGCUGCCAUUAAGUUGAGUAUUUGAUCUGAAAAAACUUCACUGAUUAAAGGAGUCUGUCAAGUCAAGGAAUGUAAUGGAAGCUUCUGAAAGAGAGAUUCAAGUGUAGUUAGAAGAUUGGCAUCAAAGCUCCCUUUUUUGGUUUACAAGUUCGUGGAAAGGGGUAGCUUUAACUAGCAAAGAGCAAGCAGUAGAAUUGGAUUGGAUUAAAAGGCUUAAUAUUGUCAAAGGUGUGUCCAAUGUUUAAAUUAUAUGCACCAUAAUUGCCAUUUUCCAACCAUUCAUCGAGACAUUUUGAGCAACAAUAAUAUUUUUGAUUCAGAACACGAGCCUUGUAUAUCUAAUUUUGGCACAGCUAGUUUUUUAUUGUUGGAAUCUUCUAAGUGAAUCUCAUUUGCUAGGACCUUUAGAUACAUAGCUCCAAGUUCGUGCCUAUAGUUUCAUCAUAAAAAAUGUGGCUCCAUGAGUGCAUUCUUAAUAAAGAGAAGUCUAGCACAUUAUCUAAUAAUUUAUUUCAUUAAUUAUUUUUCCCCCACCUACUAUUGUUAGAACCUUUCCCUUGCUAAAGUUUCUUCACACUGAUCAAGUUAGGAAAAAGUUUUUUUUCCUCAUAAUAAUAGAAAUUAGAACCACAUAAUUCAUUUUAUGUAGUGAUCUUAAUUUAGGAUUGCUAUCGACGCUAGAAUUUAGAUCAAUUUAAAAUCGCUGGAACUUAUAGCAAACCUAACUUGUAACUUGGGCAUGUGAUAAAUUCCAGCAUGAUCUUAAUAUAAAUAUAAAAAUGUCAUCGUAAAUCAAAAUUAGCAUGUAAAAAUUUAAAGCAUAGGCAUACACUCGGAGCCCUCGUCAAUUGCUCCGAUAAAAUCAUCAAUUACAUGCCACAGAAUUUGGUAAAACUUAACAUAUAAAUUAAAAAAAUUUUCAUAGAUAAAAGAAAUUGGGAUUCAGAGAAAAAAUUAGGGGCAUUCUACAACUGUAAACCAUAAAAUAUUUUACUUGUCCACUAUGAAAACUAUCACAUAACAAAAUAUACACCAUUAUCUUGUGGUCUGCAAACCUAGACUAGCACUGAAACUGGAGUGGAAAAUGUAAUCUUGAGGCUUGAACACCGGCUACUCUUCAUUCUGGCUCACCCACACCCUCUUUUUGGCUUUUGUAUCAAGACUUCCAUAUCUUCUUUGCUCAUCUCCUACGGAUUCAUUGUCGUCUGCUAACAUUCUACCAGGAUCUAUCCUCCUCAUGUUUAAAUUAAAGGACCUUCUAAGAUCUCUUAAUGCUCCUCUCCUGUUACUUCGGUUUACCGGAGCUCGUGAUGGAGCCGCAAGGGAAAAGGUAUCGAUACCAAUCUCACGGAUCGACAUGAGCCACGCAUUCUAUCUUCUAAAAAGAAACACCAUAAUAUUAAAAAAUUAGCAUGGUUUAUAUGAGCACACAUGAAUCCAUAAUAGAAUAUAACAUAAAUGCACUUGUACAUACUCAUGGCAUCACACAAGUAUAUGUCACAAUAUAUUACUCUAAAUCUUAUUCCCAAUAGAUAUGUAUUUUCGUAGUUUCCAAUUAUGCCUAUCUUAAAUAUAUUAAAUUUUAUUAAAUAUUAAGAGAUGUUUUAAGAGGUGUCUUGAAAAUAAGAUAAAAUUAAAUAAUGUUAUAAUAUUUAAUUUAUAUUUUAUUAUAGUCUAAAAAAUGAAAGUGAAUAAUAAUUUAAGACAAUAAAAAAAAAGAUAGAUAAAAAAUUAUGAAACAGAGUAUAAAAUUAUUAUUUAUGUAACUACUAGGUGGUAAUAAUAGUAGUUGUAAUAGCCAGGAGAUGAGGUAAGAAUAGGGAUACUGGUGAAAUUGGUAGUAACAUUGAUAUAUAGUGGUUGUUGAAAACUAAAUAAAUGAAUUAAAAUAACAAAUCAUAAUUACAUUUAUUGUUAUGUAAUAUUGGUCACGUUAUUUAAAGAAAGAAUUAGGAAAAAUUAUCAUUAAAAAAAUUUAUUAAUUGGUUCUUUAGUUUUGAAAAAUGCAUUAAAAUAUUUUUGACAUUUUAAAAAAUCUAUUAGUUAAUCUCUCCAUUAAUUUUAGCUGUUAAGUAUUUUACUAUUUAAUUUCUAUGAUUUUAAAAAACUUAUUAGUUGAUCCUAGAAUUUUUAAAAAGUCUAUUAAUUAGUCCAUUUCAUACAAGGACAUUUUGAAUUUUUUUUAAUACUUAACUGCUAAAUUAAUAGAAAAACUAAUUAGUAAAUUUUUUAAAAAGCCAUAGACGUUUUAAUACAUUUUUCAAAAUUAAGGAACUAACUAGUGAGUUUUUUCAUACUAUAGAGACUAAAUAGUAAUUUUUUAAAAAAUUAUUAUUUAAUCCAACCAUAGGAAAAAUCAUUAGUUGAUUAAAAUGCCUCUCAAAUAAAAAAAAUCUAAUAAUAAGUCAUUCUAUUAGUUUUAGCUGUUUAAGUGUUUAUUAUUUAAUUUAUGUGAUGGGAAAAAUUAUAAUAAUUAUGAUUCUUCUUCCACAUUUUCUUUCCCCUUUUAUUGUCAUUGAAAAUUAGUCCCUUGGCAAUAUGCUCAACCAACUGGACAAGUCAGAAAUUUGAUCCCACAUUUUAUAAAGAUGAUGCGAACUUCACUUCUAUCAUUUUCCCAUCACCUAUCCACGCAACAAUCAGCCAGUGUCAUAUUUGUUUGCAACCUAAAUAAACAUUGACUCAGGUCUCCUCUGAAAAACACUCUGUUAUAUAUAUAAGAAAAAUCAAGUUUUUUUUUUUUUUAAUAGAUGUUUGGAAAGGUCAAGGAAAAUUGAAUGGUGAUUAUUGGGAGAUUCCAAACGUGUAUUAUCAACUGAGUUAAUGAGUGAUAGAAAAAAAAAUUGAUUUCCAGUUUUCUUCCAUAAUGAGUAUAUAAUCGAACCAUAAUAAUUAGUCAAUGACCCGGUUUCCUCUGGAACUGAUUUUUUUUUUGAAGUUUUUUAUAUUUAUACACAUGCUGAAAGUCAAGUAUUUGAUCAUAAUAUAAAGAGAUAAAAUUGAUUUUUAACCAAAGUUAUUUUUCAUAAUAUAUGUAUAUAAUCUACUAAAAAGUACUUUCAAACCCUUGAAAAAUAAGUAAAAAUAUUUUGAAAUUUUAAAACUCAUACGUAUAUAAUUUACAAGAAUAAUCAAAUCAUACGGAGUUCUGAUUUAGUUUGUGCUUUUUAUAUAGAUACUUAAAUUCUGAGUUAGAUCACUACAUGUACGUGUAUGCAUAAAUUUCCUCAAGAAUUCUCUAUAAAUACCUCUUUAUCAAGCUAAAGCUCUUCAAUCACCCAUGAAAUAAUCCACCUUUUUAUUUUUGUACUAUAAUAGCCACAAUGUGCUUUCUCGCUAAAAUACUUUCCAAGUUAUUCCAAGCCCUGCUUGUUCUCAUCUUUCUAUCCACUUCUGCCUCCACUGCAACUUCAGCCCUUACUGAUGGACCAACUAAAGUUGGGAUGGAAGCUUAUUGUCUCUUAAGAUGGAAAGCCAGUCUCCACAACCAAAGCCAAUCUGUUUUAGAUUCUUGGGUUGGCAGGGGACCUUGCAAAUGGAUUGGGGUCACUUGUGAUAGCUCUGGAAGUAUCACCAAUUUGAGCCUCAUUAAUUUAGGCUUAAGAGGUACGCUUCACAGUUUCAAUUUUUCAUGCUUUCCCAACCUUACACGUCUUAACAUUUCCAACAAUUCAUUGCAUGGUACCCUUCCAUCGCAAAUCUCUAAUCUCUCCAAAAUUACAUACUUGAACUUAUAUGGUAAUCAUCUCACGGGAAACAUUCCAUCUGAGAUUGGUAUGCUAAGUACUCUUUCUGAGCUCUAUUUAUCAAGAAACAAUUUCACUGGUCUAAUUCCUACUUCCAUGACAAAGUUGAAAAAUCUAUCCAUCCUGAUCUUGUGGGGAAAUAAACUCUCAGGUUCCAUACCUUCAGAAAUUGGAUUCUUAAAAUCUUUAAAAGAACUUGACCUGUCGGGUAACAAACUCUCAGGCUCCAUAUCUUCAGAAAUUGGAUUAUUAAAAUCUUUAAAAAAACUUAGCUUGUCGAGUAACAAAAUCUCAGGACUGAUCCCUCCUUCCAUUGGAAAAUUGAGAGAGUUAUCACUUCUUUACCUUUAUGACAACAAACUUUCAAGUUCCAUACCUUCAGAAAUUGGAAUGCUUGGUUCUCUUUCUGAACUCUGUCUGCAGAAAAACAAUCUUACGGGUUCAAUCCCUGUUUCUAUGACAAAGUUGGAAAAUCUAUCAAUUUUGUACUUGUGGGGAAAUAAAUUCUCAGGCUUCAUACCUUCAGAAAUUAGAUUCUUAAAAUCUUUAAAAGAACUUGACCUGUCGAGUAACAAACUCUUAGGACUGAUCCCUCCUUCCAUUGGAAAAUUGAGAGAGUUAUCACUUCUUCACCUUUUUGACAACAAACUCUCAGGUUCCAUACCUUCAGAAAUUGGAUUCUUAAAAUUUUUAAAAAAACUCGACCUAUCGAGUAACAAUCUCACCGGCGCAAUCCCUUCUUCUAUUGGACUCUUGAGAAAUUUAUCAGAUCUUGUACUUCUUGAAAAUAAACUCUCAGGAUCCCUUCCUUUGGAAUUCAAUAAUCUUACCCGUUUGAAGUCAUUGCAAUUAAGUGGGAAUGGAUUCACCGGUCAUUUGCCAGAAGAUGUAUGCCUUGGAGGGUUACUUGAAAAAUUCGCUACUGCCUUCAAUCAUUUCUCAGGUUCAAUCCCAAAAACUUUGAGAAACUGUACUAGCUUAUUCAGGCUUAGGCUAGAUUGGAAUCAAUUAACAGGGAACAUUUCAGAGCAAUUAGGGAUAUAUCCACAUUUGGAUUAUAUGGAUUUGAGUAACAAUAGAUUCCAUGGAGAGAUUCCAUGGAAAUUGGGUCAGUGGAAAAACAUCACAAGCCUAAAAUUUUCAAACAACAAUAUCUCUGGUAGCAUACCGCUCGACCUUGGAAAUGCCACUCAAUUACAUCUGAUUGACCUUUCCUGGAAUCAUUUGCAAGGGCAAGUUCCUAAAGAAUUGGCAAAGUUGAAGCUGUUGAUCAAACUUUGUCUUAAUAACAACAAUCUUUUUGGCGUUGUUCCUUUAGAUUUCAAGGUACUAUCUAAUCUGGAUCAUCUUAAUUUAGC